UUUGUAUGUAAUUCCGUAGUAAAAUAUCUAAAAGGAUUAUAUUUAGGAAUGGAGGGAGUACUUGAGAGAUGCAUGCUAAGGACAUAUAUGAUUGUAAACUCCUAAACUUUUUAGUCUGUAACGCCCUUAGCUAUUAUUACUAGUUCCCGUAUCUAUUCUAGAUUUUGUAGAAUUUGUGGAGUGAACCAUGAAGGUUUUAUGUUCUAGAGCUAUGGUCUGUAAUAUUUCUUUUGAGUACAACUAUGGUCUGUAAUAGAAUUUCUUUUCUGAAAGGUUUGAGCUACAGUAAAAUCUCUUUGCCCAGGAUGAAUAUGCUAUGCUCCAGUCUAGCUCUCGAUAAUCCAUUCACAUGGUACAGCAUGCGCCUUCCGUGGACGAAGGCCCUAUUUGGAUACUCUGACUUAGUUAGAGUUUAGAGUUACUUUCUAGCUCAUGACUAACCCUAAACUAACUCUAGUCAAAAAGGUGUUUGGAUGAUAGGGUUAGAUUGACAAUAGUUGUACUUGAUGGAGAGAGAACAGUGAUUUUUUAGUGGGUCCUUUGAAAACUAGCUCGAAUUAACACCUAUUACCUAGUGGAUAGAGAGAGAAAAGUGACUUUUUAGUAGGUCCCAUGAAAACUAGCUCCAAUUAACACCUCUUGGAUGGGCUAGUUUUUUUAGGUGGGUUAGAUGCAACUAGCUUCAAUCUAACCUUCAUGUUUGGAUACUUUAGAGCUAUUUAAGUCCCAACUAGCUCAAACUAACUCUAGCCUAUGGAUCCAAACAGGACUGAAGUUGAUGAGGAGGACCAUCAGCACAUGUUGGACGUGACGCUCGAGCUCCACAACGACAGCGUCCAGUCCGAUCUCGACAACUACGACGUCACCCACCCCGACAAUGACGAUGCCCCACACAAGGAAAACCAAAGUAGUCUGGCAGUGGCUGCACAUCCUACUAUGGCUUGGUGGACUACCUCGACUUCUCCAACAUCGUAAUGACAGCCGAUAGGAUGCAACCGUGGGGCCUUCUUCGGUUCUGGAUGCAAUCACGUUGUACCCUGGUCUUAUUUUAAGCCAGAAAGUGCAAUAUCUCUUGUAAUGGACCCUUUUUUUCUUUUCUUCAGUCCUUGAUGACGCUCUCUACCAUGUGGCCUACAACAUCAACCUUGAGUCAUGACGAACAUCUAAUUCUACAUGGAGAAGUCCAAUUACAAGGUGAUGCUUCAUGCCGGAUUGGAUACUUUCUUAGUAUUUCAUAAUGUUUGAGCUUUAACUUGCCGUUUGGAGGAGCCUUGUUCAAUGACUGGUUAGCAUGUUGUUGUGACCCUGGUUGAAUAUGUAUGCAUAUGUGGACUUCGAACUCAUGGCCCUUUCGUUAGUGAACUCUUGUUACAUAUGUAGACAUGUUAUUGUAAACCUUUGUUGGAUAUGUAUAGAUGUGUGAACACCCAUGAUCAGUUUGUUACGGUUGUCAACCUCUAAUAUAUCGUUAUUGUGAACUUAGUUCUAUA